UACGUAGGGAGCAAGCGUUGUCCGGAAUCAUUGGGCGUAAAGCGCGCGUAGGCGGCCCCGUAAGUCCGCUGUGAAAGUCCAGGGCUCAACCCUGGGAUGCCGGUGGAUACUGUCGGGCUCGAGUCCGGAAGAGGCGAGUGGAAUUCCUGGUGUAGCGGUGAAAUGCGCAGAUAUCAGGAGGAACACCAAUGGCGAAGGCAGCUCGCUGGGACGUGACUGACGCUGAGACGCGAAAGCGUGGGGAGCAAACAGG
rnacentral:rRNA from 1 species